ensembl:lncRNA
GCAGAACAGCGUCCCCACACCUCAGCGUGAGAAAGCUGCUUUCCUCAACUUGGAGCUGGUUGCAAUCAGCCAAAUUCAAUGAACUCAACAUGCUCUUGACACCCCCAAAGAUUCGAGGAGUCAUAUAUACAUAUUUUUUAAUGGCUGCGCCCGUGGCAUAUGGAAGUUCCCGGGCCAGGGACUGAAUCAGAGCCACAGCUGUGACCUGGGCCACUGCAGCAACUCCAGAUCCUUUAACCCACUGAGCUGGGCCAGGGAUGGAACCCAUACUGCUGCAGGAGGAUUUUUUUUUUUUUUUUUUUUGGUCUUUUUUAGGGGCUGUACCCACAGCAUAUGGAUGUUCCCAGGCUAGGGGUUGAAUUGGAGCUGUAGCCGCUGGCCUCCACCACAGCCACAGCAACACCAGAUCCAAGCCACAUCCGCGAUCUACACCACAGCUCAUGGCAACACCAGAUCCCCAACACACUGAGCGAGGCCAGGGAUCGAACCUGCGUCCUCAUGGACACUAGUCAGAUCCGUUUUCCGCUGAGCCAUGACAGGAGCUCCUGCAGUGGGAUGCUAAACUUGCUGCACCACAGCAGGAACGCCAGAGAAGUCAUAUUUCAGACACAUAAAGCUAGUGCCUUUCUCCAGUCCACUAUCAUACGUCUCUAACGAGCUCACUAAAUAAAAAGCAACACAGAUACCUUUUCUGCAUUUUUAAUAUUACGUCUUACAUGGGCUAAUUAUUCCUCUAAGGAGGGAACCAGUGAUUGAUCCCUAGCUUUUGGGGGCACAGAAAGAGAACUCUUUAAAACUAUGGCAUGCUGUCACUCUCAGAUGGUCAAGCAACCUGGAACUCCACAGUAAGUGGUGGCAGAUAAGGUGUUACGGCCACGCUUAAAAACGCACAGAGAGCCGGCCAGUGGCACCAAGAGGCCCGUGGUCCAUGGCAACAGCAUCUCCAUCCUCUGAGUGCAAAUACCCAUCAAAUUCCUCGCCGGGGACCACAACGCACAAAGCAGUCCUCGCCUUUUCAAGGUGUCACCCAGCUGGCAGACGACUCAAUAACAUCGUCUGAUGACUCUUUGAGGACUGCGAUUCUGUGGCACUUACUCAAGAAUCAAUUGCUGAUUUUCCUCACAUUUUUGCCUAAGGACUCGGCCGAAUACAAGUUAGAUCCAACUGUAACCUCUUUAAGGAGGGCUAAAUUGAGACAGCAAGGCCAGGAUUUUUCUCCAAGUGGAAACAGAGGUUUAUUAUUUACAAAAUUGUCUAAAUGUUGCUAGUGAGGUCUUAUAAAGACUCAAAGGGUUUUUUUUAAAAAAAAAGCUAGUCCACUAAUCGGAUUCUGUACCAAUUAUUAUGUCAAUCCUGGGUAAAUUGCCCAUCUCUGAGUCACAUCUGUCUAUACCACCCAGCCCAGGGUUAAGAGAAGCAUCUCAAAUAAAGUGGGGUCUGGAAAGAGCUUUGACGGUGUUUAAGACGAGGAGGGGGUUUCAGUGACAACCUCAGAGGGAAAUUCACCAUUUCUUAUAACCCAAUCCUUUCUGUCAUUCCUAAAAUGACAUUUCAGAUUCUUUCCACAUGUUACAUAGCCUGACCAGCAAGAUCAGCUGAUGAUGGAAAGACAGUCGCCUCUCAGUAUCCAGAAGUGGGUGAGCAGGGGUGGCUUCAGGAGGCCCCGUGUCCCAACGUCCACGGGGGCUCGAGGUCCUCUGAUAAAGUGGCGGAGGACACACGGCCUCCGGAGCCACAGGUUCCAUGGAUUCAAUCAAGCAUGGAGGGAAAGUCAGCCCUGCAGUUGGCUGAAUCCACAGAUGCAGAAACCCGGGAAUACAGGGGACCAACCGUAUGUGCUGAAGCGCAUCUGCAUGUAGGUUUAAACCCAUGCUUUUCAAGACUCAUCUAUAAUUGGCAGCUGGUCUUCUCGACAGAAAGAUGAGCAUAAGGCAACAAUGGUGCUACUCCUAAUAGGUAUUUAUUUCCAAGCUGGAGGGGUGAGUAAUAGACACUUUUGACCUAUAAAGGUUCUUUAAGGAAUCAGAUGGUUGGAUUUUCAAUGGCUGUACUUUCAAACGGCCAUGUUUUCAAAACAGAAAAAGGGAAGGAAAUGUCCAAAUAAAAGAAGGAUCUCAAAGCAAAACUCCAAAUGUGGGUGGCUUCCAUGCACGUCUUCUGACAAACCCUAUCUUGAGAGAAGGCAAGGAGCCCUUUGGUGCCUGUAAAGCUGCUGUAAAUUCCUUUUUCUCAGUUUCCAUAGAAAGCAGAUCAGAACUAGUUUUUCUUCAACAAUUCCCCACUGGGAACGGCCUACCUUUGCCACAGACUUCAGGGCACACACAUCUCAGACCAAUGCGCUCAGCCUGGCCUGCGUGUUUUCCUGAACGUGCCAAAGGCACCUGGACACAAAGGGGGGGGGCGGCACACACGGAGCUUCUCCGUUUAGUGAUACACUGUCUAGGACUGGAUGCUUUUUUUUUUUUUUUGGAUGGGAGAGGGUGUAUGAAAGAAAUGUUAAAAUAUCUUUUCAAACAAGCAGAUCCAAAAACCACAGAAUUCCAUGUUUGCCAUUCCUAGCAACACAGGCAUUCUUAAGAAUAUGAUGCUACUUCAUUUUCUGCUCGCACUGGGCUUAACAGCAUCCCUCCCCCCCACCCCCAGUCCAUGUCUCUCUGCAGCCUCAGUACGAGCCCGUAUCUGGAAGCAGGGGCUUUGCACAUAUGAUUAACGAGGAUGAGGUCAUAUGCAGCUGGACCAGGUUCUUAGAAACAGAGGGGAGGCGUUCCCGCUGCGGCUCAGCGGCUUAAAAACCCCAUGUCGUCUCUGUGAGGAUGCGGGUUCCAUCCCUGGCCUUGCUCAGUGGGUUUUGGAUCAGGUGUUGCGUGGCUGUGGUGUAGGCCUGCAGCUGCAGCUCCGAUUCGACCCCUAGCCCGGGAACCCCCAUAUGCUGUAAAAACGAGAGGAAGGAAGGCAGGAAGCCGUGAGUAGGAAAAUCUCACUUCUCCCCAUGCUGCUCCCUCCUUCUCACCCCAGGAGCCCCUUACGCUCCUGACACUAGGGGUUUUUUUUGUCCACACCAAGCAAUUCUGAGACACCAGCUGGGUGUCCUACAUAAUUCAAUUCUAUUCAAUUCUGAACUAACCAGAGACAGCGUGGACCCCACGCGUCAAGGGCUCCGUCGGAGAGCCUCCCCCACGUCAGAUGCCAGUGACAAGGAGUGGGUCACCAGGUGACUCACAGCUUCUCUGCAACGUGGCCCCACAUCAGAGGGUCCCGUGCCCCUCCCCCCAGAUUCAAGUAUUUGCUAGAACAGCUCACGGAGCUCGGAAAACACCUGUUUACAUUUAGCAGUUGAUUAUGAACUAAAGGCCACGACAGAGGAUGCAGAUGCACGGCCCGAUGAAGGGACCCCGAGGGCCAGGUCCGGGAGGGCCCUGAGUCCGGGAGCUUCUGUUCCCAUGGAGCUGGGGUGCGGCGCCUUCCCGGUGCGUGGCUGUGCCCACGCCUACGUGAGGAGGCCCCGUAAAACCCCAGCUGUGCGGGGUGUGGACGGCGUCCAGGCUGAGGAACCAGCCUCCACCCAGGAGCCCACCCAGAGCCGCCUCAUUCCAACAAAAGAGCCCCGUCACUCAGGAAAUGCCAAGGGUUUUAGGGGCAGGAACGGGUCAAAGACCAACUAUCUAAACAAAAGAUGCUCCGGGUGUUUUUUAUGACCUAGGAAGUUCCACGGGCGCAGGAGCUCUGUGCUGGGAACCGGGGGCAGCGACUGGAAUGCCUACCUUCUCCCCUCUCACAAGGACACAGACCCCGAAACACAAGAAGCCCAGACACACAGGGCGAAGGAGGCCGUGGGACGACGGCGGCAGAGACGGGAGCGAGGCAACCACAAGCCACGGAGCCCUAAGGACUGAUGUGCCGCCAGAAGCCAGGAGGAGCUUCCAGGGGCAGCGAGGCCCUGCCGGCACUUGAACUUCAGGGUUCUGGCCCCAGAACCAAGAGAGAGCACAUUCCUGUUGUUUUAAGCCACCCAGUUGGUGGUGAUUUGUCACGGCAGCCCCGGAAAACCGAUACUGUUGAAACAUGCCUUCGUGAUGUGAUUGAUCCGUGUUCCCAUAUUUGGACAAAGAAAUGAAAUCCUAUGGUGUGACCAAAACCAUCUGAACCUUUGGCAGUGGGUGGCAUGCUUGCUUGCAUAUUAGAACCUCCUGGGAGCUUUUGAAAAAAAUCCCACUGCCCAAGCUGCUCCCCAGCCCAAUUAACUCAGAGAUCCCAGGGGCGGGACAGACACACCCGUCCGUGUUUGGUGACACCCCCUGGGGGAUCCCCACGUGCAGCCAAGGUCGCCAGAACCACUGACCCAGGAGGUGCCACAGCUGCGUGGUUUUCUAACCACGGGCUUCUGCUUUCGUCGGGUCUUGGUUGGAUUUCUGGCUUUGCUACCCACUGGCGGUGGCCUCGGGCAAGUCGUUUAAUUUACCUGAUAUUUACUCUUUCAAGCUGAGAAUGGGAUUGUGAAGAUUCAUCUUUUGAAGUAUGGAGACCAUCUAAGCACGCCAGGCCUGGAGCAGACACGGAGCAAAGGCGGCGUGCCUUUCAGCUUUACAACAUACAGAGAGGCCAGUUAGCAGGAAGCUAGGCAUCCAGGCUGUGGGCACCCCAAUUCUGCUUUCCCUGCUUACUGGCUACAAACCCUCAGGCACUUCAUACUCGGUUUCCUUAUCUAGAAAACACCGGCCUCCGAGAGUCAUUAUGAAGUUUACGUGGGAGAGAUAAUAAGAUAAUUUGAUCCAGCUCAAGCACUUAAAACAGUAUCUGGCACAUUUCAGCACUCAAUGAACGUUAGCUCAGAGUGAUGCGGUCCCCACACCCCCCCCUCGAGAAUACAGAACGUCACGGGAUAAAUCCCAGCAUCAUCUCCCUUUCUGAUCAGAAGCACGGUGACGGAGGAUUAAACCGGGAGCUCAGCGGAUAUACACGAAGCUGCAGGACCCAGGUCAAGUCACUUUUCUCUGUUCCCCGUUCUGGACUCAAUUUGUAAAAAAGGGCUUCAUAAGCUGACCCCUCUGGCACGUUCCAGCAUUAAAAAAAAAAAAAAAA